rnacentral:lncRNA from 1 species
CACUUAACAACAAUGCUUUAGGGUUGACAGCAAAAUGUUAUCAACAGCCUAACCUGUUUACUGUGAGCCCACCUACCAACCAAUUAAUGUUAGUGUCGAAUUGCACAAAUCUGAUUGGUCACUUCAUCAAGUGACCAUCAGCUGAUUUGAAUUGUCACUUCAUGUAGAGCCAACGGAAGCGGUAGUAUUUUGAAUUUCUCUCUGGACUUUUAUGAAGUUAGGCAGUUAUAAACAUACUCCUUGGAAGUAUUUUAGCAGUACUGUAUUCAUCAAGUGGAUACUCAAGUCACGGUAACUACUGUAAGUGAAAACUCAAUCCAGUCAACUGAAUCAUUGUAGUAGGAAAGCAUUAAUGUUUGUUUGAAGACGUAUCUGUGAAGGCCAGAAAAUUACCUGACUUAAUAAAGCAAGAGUGAAACUCCGAGAAAUGUUAGUACAAGUCACAGUGAUUUAGUAUUUCAAACUAGAUUUGUUUAACGGCAUAAUUCAUACUAAUUUAGCUUGGUACCAUCGGACAAGAAAAGGCAUGGAUGGACAAUUGCUGCUGCAAUAUCACAAAGAAUGCUGGUUUAUGCACACCUGUAACACAAAUGGUUCUUGAAUAUUGUUUUAUAUAAUAAACUCUUGUAAUAGGACUACAUUACGAAAAAAAUGCUUAUUUAAACCGGACUGUAAAAGCAAAGAACUGUAGAAUAGCCUUGAAUCUGAGGUACAGUAUGUUUAGAAGUAAGACAUUAGCAAAACGAUAAUAUAUAAAGGGGUAUGCUAGUAAAUGAGACCCUAGGGAAGUAAUGUCCCUAUCGUAUGA